UUUAUGGAGAGUUUGAUCCUGGCUCAGGAUGAACGCUGGCGGCGUGCCUAAUACAUGCAAGUCGAGCGAACGGACGAGAAGCUUGCUUCUCUGAUGUUAGCGGCGGACGGGUGAGUAACACGUGGAUAACCUACCUAUAAGACUGGGAUAACUUCGGGAAACCGGAGCUAAUACCGGAUAAUAUUUUGAACCGCAUGGUUCAAAAGUGAAAGACGGUCUUGCUGUCACUUAUAGAUGGAUCCGCGCUGCAUUAGCUAGUUGGUAAGGUAACGGCUUACCAAGGCAACGAUGCAUAGCCGACCUGAGAGGGUGAUCGGCCACACUGGAACUGAGACACGGUCCAGACUCCUACGGGAGGCAGCAGUAGGGAAUCUUCCGCAAUGGGCGAAAGCCUGACGGAGCAACGCCGCGUGAGUGAUGAAGGUCUUCGGAUCGUAAAACUCUGUUAUUAGGGAAGAACAUAUGUGUAAGUAACUGUGCACAUCUUGACGGUACCUAAUCAGAAAGCCACGGCUAACUACGUGCCAGCAGCCGCGGUAAUACGUAGGUGGCAAGCGUUAUCCGGAAUUAUUGGGCGUAAAGCGCGCGUAGGCGGUUUUUUAAGUCUGAUGUGAAAGCCCACGGCUCAA
rnacentral:rRNA from 1 species